rnacentral:rRNA from 1 species
AACCUGGUUGAUCCUGCCAGUAGUCAUAUGCUUGUCUCAAAGAUUAAGCCAUGCAUGUCUAAGUAUAAGCAAUUAUACAGCGAAACUGCGAAUGGCUCAUUAUAUAAGUUAUCGUUUAUUUGAUAGUACCUUACUACUUGGAUAACCGUGGUAAUUCUAGAGCUAAUACAUGCUAAAAAUCCCGACUUCGGAAGGGAUGUAUUUAUUAGAUUAAAAACCAAUGCCCUUCAGGGCUCACUGGUGAUUCAUGAUAACUCCUCGAAUCGCAUGGCCUUGUGCCGGCGAUGGUUCAUUCAAAUUUCUUCCCUAUCAACUUUCGAUGUUUGGGUAUUGGCCAAACAUGGUUGCAACGGGUAACGGAGGGUUAGGGCUCGACCCCGGAGAAGGAGCCUGAGAAACGGCUACUACAUCCAAGGAAGGCAACAGGCGCGCAAAUUACCCAAUCCCGACACGGGGAGGUAGUGACAAUAAAUACUGAUACAGGGCUCUUUUGGGUCUUGUAAUUGGAAUGAGUACAACUUAAAUCCCUUAACGAGGAACAAUUGGAGGGCAAGUCUGGUGCCAGCAGCCGCGGUAAUUCCAGCUCCAAUAGCGUAUAUUAAAGUUGUUGUGGUUAAAAAGCUCGUAGUUGAACCUUGGGCCUGGCUGGCCGGUCCGCCUCACCGCGUGUACUGGUCCGGCCGGGCCUUUCCCUCUGUGGAACCCCAUGCCCUUCACUGGGUGUGGCGGGGAAACAGGACUUUUACUGUGAAAAAAUUAGAGUGCUCCAGGCAGGCCUAUGCUCGAAUACAUUAGCAUGGAAUAAUAGAAUAGGACGUGUGGUUCUAUUUUGUUGGUUUCUAGGACCGCCGUAAUGAUUAAUAGGGACAGUCGGGGGCAUCAGU